rnacentral:rRNA from 1 species
GAUGAACGCUGGCGGCGUGCCUAAUACAUGCAAGUCGAGCGAACGGACGAGAAGCUUGCUUCUCUGAUGUUAGCGGCGGACGGGUGAGUAACACGUGGAUAACCUACCUAUAAGACUGGGAUAACUUCGGGAAACCGGGGCUAAUACCGGCUAAUAUUUUGAACCGCAUGGUUCAAAAGUGAAAGACGGUCUUGCUGUCACUUAUAGAUGGAUCCGCGCUGCAUUAGCUAGUUGGUAAGGUAACGGCUUACCAAGGCAACGAUGCAUAGCCGACCUGAGAGGGUGAUCGGCCACACUGGAACUGAGACACGGUCCAGACUCCUACGGGAGGCAGCAGUAGGGAAUCUUCCGCAAUGGGCGAAAGCCUGACGGAGCAACGCCGCGUGAGUGAUGAAGGUCUUCGGAUCGUAAAACUCUGUUAUUAGGGAAGAACAUAUGUGUAAGUAACUGUGCACAUCUUGACGGUACCUAAUCAGAAAGCCACGGCUAACUACGUG